GGUAGGAUAAAUUUUUAGUCUAGCAGGUUCAUAUUCUGAGGGUUUUCUUAUUAA
rnacentral:tRNA from 1 species